rnacentral:rRNA from 1 species
AUUGAACGCUGGCGGCAGGCCUAACACAUGCAAGUCGAGCGGAGCGGCGGACGGGUGAGUAAUGCCUAGGAAUCUGCCUGGUAGUGGGGGAUAACGUCCGGAAACGGGCGCUAAUACCGCAUACUAUCAGAUGAGCCUAGGUCGGAUUAGCUAGUUGGUGGGGUAAAGGGCUACCAAGGCGACGAUCCGUAACUGGUCUGAGAGGAUGGUCAGUCACACUGGAAGUGAGACAGGGUCCAUAGGCCUACGGAAGGCAGCAGGGGGGAACAUUGGGCAAUGGGCGAAAGUCUGAUCCAGCCAUGCCGCGUGUGUGAAGAAGGUCGUCGGAUUGUAAAGUACUUUCAGCGGGGAGGCGUUACCCGCAGAAGAAGCACCGGCUAACUCCGUGCCAGCAGCCGCGGUAAUAC